rnacentral:tRNA from 1 species
AAAAUGUUAGUAAACUCAUUACACCACCUUGUCAUGGCGGAAUAACAAGUGGAACCCUUGUACAUUUUA